rnacentral:rRNA from 1 species
AACGAACGCUGGCGGCAUGCCUAACACAUGCAAGUCGAACGAGACCUUCGGGUUUAGUGGCGCCCGGGUUCGUAAAGCGUGGGAUACUGCCCUUAUGUUCGGAAUAACUCCCCGAAAUGGGUGCUAAUACCGGAUACUGUUUCCGGACAAAAGGUUCAUCGGCUUUGGAUGGGCCGGCGUUGGUUUAGCUAGUUGGUAGGGUAAAAGCCUACUAAGGCGACGAUCCAUAGCUGGUCUGAGAGGAUGAUCAGCCACACUGGGACUGAGACACGGCCCAGACUCCUACGGGAGGCAGCAGUGGGGAAUAUUGGACAAUGGGCGAAAGCCUGAUCCAGCAAUGCCGCGUGAGUGAUGAAGGCCUUAGGGUUGUAAAGCGCUUUUACCCGGGAUGAUAAUGACAGUACCGGGAGAAUAAGCUCCGGCUAACUCCGUG